UUUUGCAAGCUAAUUGAGUCUAAUUUUGUGGACUCAAAAGCAUUGACGCGAAGGUAAUUUCUUCUUCUUCUUUUUUUGUGCUUUUCUUGUUUUGUCGCCCUUUUUUUUCUUUUUUUUGUAGGUCAAACGAGAAGGAUUUGUUCUUGUUCAACAAGAUGAUUCAUGAAUGAAGGAAACAAUCUUAGGGUGUGAGUGGAUGAGUAUUCAUCCUUGCCCAAAUAUCGGAGGGAUUACUUUCAUGGCCCGAUUACCGGAGAGAUUACUCUUAAUGUGGCCCGACUACCGGAGAGAUUACUUUAAAAAUGGCCCGACUACCGGAGAGAUUACUCUCAAUGUGGCCCGACUGCCGGAGAGAUUACUCUCAAAAUAGCCUGACUACCGGAGAGAUUACUCUCAAUGUGGCCCGACUACCAGAGAGAUUACUCUCAAAAUGGCCCGACUACCGGAGAGAUUAAUCUUAAUGUUGCCCGACUACCGGAGAGAUUACUCUCAAUGUGGCCCGACUACCGGAGAGAUUACUCUCAAAAAUGGCCCAACUACCGGAGAGAUUACUCUC
rnacentral:lncRNA from 1 species